UGAAAAUCGUAAUGGAUGUGAUUUUCCUUCAGGUAAUCGAUGUCGAUGCUAGCGAUGUUUCAUGCGUUUAUUCGUGCUGUGUAGGUGCGAGUGGGCGCAUGAAGCAUCUAGCAUCGAUGUCGAUUGUUACAUCGCUGGCAUCGAUGUCGAGGCGGGCGAUGCGUUCUGUGUGGGAGGGCAUCGCUUGUUUCCCUCCCUGUGGUGGAGCGUCGUUUCGCCCGUGCUGCGUGGUGGACUUGCGCAGGUGGCGAUCUUUCGGACUUUGACUUUUUUCUGUGUUCGGUUCUUUGUGAGACACCCUGUAUAA
rnacentral:lncRNA from 1 species